UACGUAGGGUGCAAGCGUUGUCCGGAAUUAUUGGGCGUAAAGAGCUCGUAGGCGGUGUGUCGCGUCGGCCGUGAAAACCUGCAGCUUAACUGUGGGCUUGCGGUCGAUACGGGCAUCACUGGAGUUCGGCAGGGGAGACUGGAAUUCCUGGUGUAGCGGUGAAAUGCGCAGAUAUCAGGAGGAACACCGGUGGCGAAGGCGGGUCUCUGGGCCGAUACUGACGCUGAGGAGCGGAAAGCGUGGGGAGCGAACAGG
rnacentral:rRNA from 1 species